rnacentral:rRNA from 1 species
ACUCCUGCGGGAGGCAGCAGUGGGGAAUAUUGGACAAUGGGCGCAAGCCUGAUCCAGCCAUGCCGCGUGAGUGAUGAAGGCCCUAGGGUUGUAAAGCUCUUUCACCGGUGAAGAUAAUGACGGUAACCGGAGAAGAAGCCCCGGCUAACUUCGUGCCAGCAGCCGCGGUAAUACGAAGGGGGCUAGCGUUGUUCGGAUUUACUGGGCGUAAAGCGCACGUAGGCGGACUAUUAAGUCAGGGGUGAAAUCCCGGGGCUCAACCCCGGAACUGCCUUUGAUACUGGUAGUCUUGAGUUCGAGAGAGGUGAGUGGAAUUCCGAGUGUAGAGGUGAAAUUCGUAGAUAUUCGGAGGAACACCAGUGGCGAAGGCGGCUCACUGGCUCGAUACUGACGCUGAGGUGCGAAAGCGUGGGGAGCAAACAGGAUUAGAAACCCGAGUAGUCCC